rnacentral:rRNA from 1 species
UACGUAGGUGGCGAGCGUUGUCCGGAUUUACUGGGCGUAAAGAGCGCGCAGGCGGUCGUUCAAGUCGCGUGUGAAAUCCCCGGGCUCAACCUGGGAAUGGCGAUGGAUACUGGCUCGCUAGAGUGCGGUAGAGGAGAGUGGAAUUCCCGGUGUAGCAGUGAAAUGCGUAGAUAUCAGGAGGAAUACCGGUGGCGAAAGCGACUCUCUGGACGGCAACUGACGCUGAGGCACGAAAGCGUGGGGAGCAAACAGG